ensembl:snoRNA small nucleolar RNA SNORD77
AGAAUGUUGCUUUUACAGUUCAAAGAUCUAAACAUGAAGUAUUUUAUCAGUAUUCUGUUUUUCU